AGGGCUGCACUCAUGGCAUGUGGAGGUUCCCAGGCUAGGGGUCUGAUCAGAGCUACAGCUGCCGGCCUAUGCCACAGCCUCAGCAAUGCAGGAUCCAAGCCAUGUCUGUGACCUACACCACAGCUCACGGCAAUGCCGGAUCCUUAACCCACUGAGUGAAGCUGGGGACCAAACCCACAACCUCAUGGCUUCUAGUCCGAUUUGUUUCUGUGGUACCCCGAAGCAAACUCCUGCCUGAUGUUUUGAGACUCUCCCUCCUCUCUUCCAUUGCAUGUUUCCGACCUAUACUCCUGCUUUCUCCUAAUUUCAUUGGGUUAUAUAAUUACAUUAGGUCCUAUAAAUAAUCUAAGAUAAUAAUUUUAUGACAUGCCCUGAAUUCCAUCUGAAAAACCACAGAUGGUAAAUAUGUAAUAUACCAUACAUAGAUAUAACAUGAUGGUAAAGGAUAUGAGGGCCAAAAUUCUAUCUAUAGUAUCACAGUUUAUAAUUAAUGGAAAAAAAAAGACAAAGAAAUAAAUGGAUAAAUAGUUUGGGAUGAUGAAAUCAACAAGAAAAUCAUUAUCAAAAAAAUGAGUUCCAAAAUGUGAAUUUUGGUGAAUAAGAAAGCAAUACGAAUUUCCCUACAAAAUAUUAUGAUAUAAUCAUAUAAAGUAUAUAUUGUGAAAAAUUAAACACUUUUGGGGAAACUACUGAUGCUAUAAAUUCUAUCCACUCUGUAUAGUAAUUGCCUCAUUAAAGAGCAAUACACAACUUCUAAACAUUUCAGUAGUAAAUGGACAAUGCUUUUUAAAAAUCUUACUUGCAAAAUAUCUAAAUAGACAUUCCUCCAAAGAAGACAUACCGAUGGCCAGAUAACACAUGAAAAGAUCCUCAACUUCACUCAUUGUUAGAGAAAUGCAAAUCAAAACUACUAUGAGGUACCACCUGACACCAGCCAGAGUGGCAUCAUCGAAAUGUCUACAAACUAUAAAUGCUGGAGAGGCUGUGGAGAAAAGUGAAUCCCCCUAUGUUGUUGGUGGGAGUGUAAAUUGGGGCAACCAUUAUGGAAAACAAAAUGGAGGUUCCUUAAAAACCUAAAAAGAGAACUACCGCUUGACCCAGCAAUCCCACUCCUGGGCAUCUAUCCAGAGAACACCAUGACUCAAAAAGAGACAUGCACUCCGAUGUUCAUUGCAGCAUUAUUUACAGUAGCCAAGACAUGGAAGCAAUCUAAAUGUCCAUCGACAGAGGAGUAGAUAAAGAAGAUGUGGUACAUAUAUACAAUGGAAUAUUAGCCCAAAAAAGCAUGAAAUAAUGCCAUUACCAGCAACAUGGCUUGACCUAGAGAUUAUCAUACUAAGAGAAGUUAAAUGAAAUUAUCUGAGGAACAAAAACAGACUCAGACUUUGAAAAAUAUACGGUUGCCUAAGGAGACAGGUUGGGGAUGGGGACUGACAUAUGCACGCUGAGGUCUGUGGAAUUAUUGGUCAAUGGGGACCUGCUAUAUAGCACAGAGAAUUCUAUCCAAUAUUCUGUGAUAAUCUAUGUGGGAAAACAAUAUGAAAGAAUGGAUGUGUGUACAUGUAUAACUGAGUCACUGUUUUUUUAUUUAUUUAUUUAUUUUUUUGUCUUUUGUCUUUUUGUUGAUGUUGUUGUUGUUGUUGUUGUUAUUGUUGCUAUUUCUUGGGCCGCUCCCGCGGCAUAUGGAGGUUCCCAGGCUAGGGGUCGAAUCGGAGCUGUAGCCACCAGCCUACGUCAGAGCCACAGCAACGCUGGAUCCGAGCCGCGUCUGCAGCCUACACCACAGCUCACGGCAACGCCGGAUCGUUAACCCACUGAGCAAGGGCAGGGAUCGAACCCGCAACCUCAUGGUUCCUAGUCGGAUUUGUUAACCACUGCGCCACGACGGGAACUCCUGUAUUUU
rnacentral:lncRNA from 1 species